AGGUCCAAACAGAGGAGAAAGAUGGAUGCUCUGCAGUCGGAAAAAGCUUUCCAGGAUUUUUCCUUAUUGAAACGUUUUAUUUUUCUGAUGGAUUUUGAGCGUCUGUAUGAAGGUCAAGUUCAACACUUUUUACUGCAGCUUUGUUACCAUGGAGGAGACGCUACAGACAAGCUGACCUGUGUCUUUAAACAUGAUGAGGCAAAUGACCGGACAGCAGGAGUUCCCCUCAACCACUUCCUGUAGACUGGCUCCAGCUGCUCCUCCUCCAUUCGGACAGAUGCAAGCGGAAGAGAACAAAUUUAGAACAACUUUAUUCCUAGUUUCAUGAUCCUGACAACAGAUGAAAUAAACAUCAAAACACA